GAUGAACGCUGGCGGCGUGCCUAAUACAUGCAAGUCGAGCGAACGGACGAGAAGCUUGCUUCUCUGAUGUUAGCGGCGGACGGGUUAGUAACACGUGGAUAACCUACCUAUAAGACUGGGAUAACUUCGGUAAACCGUAGCUAAUACCGGAUAAUAUUUUGAACCGCAUGGUUCAAAAGUGAAAGACGUUCUUGCUGUCACUUAUAGAUGGAUCCGCGCUGCAUUAGCUAGUUGGUAAGGUAACGGCUUACCAAGGCAACGAUGCAUAGCCGACCUGAGAGGGUGAUCGGCCACACUGGAACUGAGACACGGUCCAGACUCCUACGGGAGGCAGCAGUAGGGAAUCUUCCGCAAUGGGCGAAAGCCUGACGGAGCAACGCCGCGUGAGUGAUGAAGGUCUUCGGAUCGUAAAACUCUGUUAUUAGGGAAGAACAUAUGUGUAAGUAACUGUGCACAUCUUGACGGUACCUAAUCAGAAAGCCACGGCUAACUACGUG
rnacentral:rRNA from 1 species